CACAUUAAAAUAAAUAAAUACAAACAUUCGUAGGCUUGCUAAUUAACUAAUAAUUCAAAAUAAUUGAUGUGAUGCUAUCUAACUACAAGGUUCUUGACUCGUUUUUCGGUAUAAAUACGCAAUGAAGAAGUUAAUCUUAUUUAGUCUGUUCUCGUACUUUAACAAACAAGUUUGAGCUUCUUUACGUAUAGACAAAAUGGUUUUCAAGGUGCUUUUAUACUUCGUUUUGGCACUUCUCAUUAGCGUUUCAAUGGCUAAUCCUGAUCAUUACGGACAGGGCUAUGGGCAUGGACAUGGACACGAAUAUGAACAUGGACACGGACAUGGACAUGGGCAUGGGCAUGAACAUGGUCAUGAGUAUGAACAUGGACACGGACAUGGUCAUGAAUAUGAACAUGGUCAUGGUCAUGGUCAUGAAUCUGAACAUGGGCACGGCCACGGCCAUGGAUACGAGCAUGGUCAUGGGGGCUAUGGGCAUCAUUAAAUAAUUAAAUAGGGUAGUUUAAAUAAAAUGAAUUUAAUACAAAAUAGGCCGAA